CACGUAGGGCGCAAGCGUUGUCCGGAAUUAUUGGGCGUAAAGAGCUCGUAGGCGGUCUGUUGCGUCCGCUGUGAAAACUCGGGGCUUAACCCCGAGCCUGCAGUGGAUACGGGCAGACUAGAGGUAGGUAGGGGAGAAUGGAAUUCCCGGUGUAGCGGUGAAAUGCGCAGAUAUCAGGAGGAACACCGAUGGCGAAGGCAGGUCUCUGGGCCAUAACUGACGCUGAGAAGCGAAAGCAUGGGGAGCGAACAGG
rnacentral:rRNA from 1 species